UACGAAGGGGGCUAGCGUUGCUCGGAAUUACUGGGCGUAAAGCGCACGUAGGCGGCUUUCUAAGUCGGGGGUGAAAUCCUGGAGCUCAACUCCAGAACUGCCUUCGAUACUGGAGAGCUUGAGUCCGGGAGAGGUGAGUGGAACUGCGAGUGUAGAGGUGAAAUUCGUAGAUAUUCGCAAGAACACCAGUGGCGAAGGCAGCUCACUGGCCCGGUACUGACGCUGAGGUGCGAAAGCGUGGGGAGCAAACAGG
rnacentral:rRNA from 1 species